rnacentral:rRNA from 1 species
GAUGAACGCUGGCGGCGUGCCUAAUACAUGCAAGUCGAGCGAACAGACGAGGAGCUUUCUCCUCUGACGUUAGCGGCGGACGGGUGAGUAACACGUGGAUAACCUACCUAUAAGACUGGGAUAACUUCGGGAAACCGGAGCUAAUACCGGAUAAUAUAUUGAACGGCAUGGUUCAAUAGUGAAAGACGGUUUUGCUGUCACUUAUAGAUGGAUCCGCGCCGGAUUAGCUAGUUGGUAAGGUAACGGCUUACCAAGGCAACGAUGCGUAGCCGACCUGAGAGGAUGAUCGGCCACACUGGAACUGAGACACGGUCCAGACUCCUACGGGAGGCAGCAGUAGGGAAUCUUGCGCAAUGGGCGCAAGCUUGACGGAGCAACGCCGCGUGAGUGAAGAAGGUCUUCGGAUCGUAAAACUCUGUUAUUAGGGAAGAACAAAUGUGUAAGUAAAUAUGCACGUCUUGACGGUACCUAAUGAGAAAGCCACGGCUAACUACGUG